rnacentral:rRNA from 1 species
GAAGAACGCUGGCGGCGUGCUUAACACAUGCAAGUCGAACGGAAAGGCUCCUGCUUGCAGGGGUACUCGAGUGGCGAACGGGUGAGUAACACGUGGGUGAUCUGCCCUGCACUUCGGGAUAAGCCUGGGAAACUGGGUCUAAUACCGGAUAGGACGAUGGUUUGGAUGCCAUUGUGGAAAGUUUUUCGGUGUGGGAUGAGCUCGCGGCCUAUCAGCUUGUUGGUGGGGUAAUGGCCUACCAAGGCGUCGACGGGUAGCCGGCCUGAGAGGGUGUACGGCCACAUUGGGACUGAGAUACGGCCCAGACUCCUACGGGAGGCAGCAGUGGGGAAUAUUGCACAAUGGGCGCAAGCCUGAUGCAGCGACGCCGCGUGGGGGAUGACGGCCUUCGGGUUGUAAACUCCUUUCGUCAGGGACGAAGCGAAAGGGACGGUACCUGGAUAAGAAGCACCGGCGAACUACGU